GUCCGGCUGCGCGGUUUACGCAGGCCGGGCGAAUCUGUACGACGCCGCCCGGAACGACACGGGGCGGCACAGAUCCAUAAAGGAGGA
ncrna:unclassified sequences aspS RNA